UCAGCGGAGAUCACUACAAGAGGAGCAAAUCUCAACUCUCCUACAAAAGAGUUACCGAAGAAUUGAACGCUCGAGGUGGUAUUUUUUUAGUUCAAUUUUAAAAGUGGAGUUUGAUACCAAUAAUAAACAGCAUAUUACGGCUUAAGAUAAAAAAUAGUAUAAGACAGUAAACAAAUCGAAUACUGGACUUCAAAUUAAAAGAUGAAUAUUUGAACGGAUAAAUCAUCACAGCUAGGGAGGCCCACAGAUAAUCGAUAGGAAACAAGGAAUUAGGAGAGAGCAUGGACUGAAAGACGGUCGUCAAAAUCGUCCACCCCUCUCGGCCAAUCCACCACCACUUUCUGCACCACCAGCGCAAUCAUCAAACAUCUGCUGCUGAGGCCAUAACUCUACUGACUGUUUUGUUUUGUUUACGUUUCAAUACACGUCUGGCCCGAUGGAUGUGACACGAGCGUGUUGCGUGUGUGUGCUUGUGGUGUGUUGUUUCCUGGGAUGUGUCGCUCAGGCGGAGGACGGAGAAGAUUUCCAGGAUAUGAUGAUCCAGAAGAGUGAACACAGCAUCGAGGUGGUAG